rnacentral:lncRNA from 1 species
UAGGGCAUUCUGUUCAUCUUUGUUCUCUUAUGUUUUGGAGGUACUACGCAUGGGAUUAUCGGGUCUUGAAGACAUUUGGGAAGCAUUAUUCAACUGGUGAUCCGAUACCUGAAAACUUGGUAAAAUCGCUACAAGGAGCCAAACGUAUGUUUGCUGCAACCGAAUUACAAGGCCAGGUUUCUGUCCAAGGGUCAAAUUAAUUGACUGUCGAAAUUAUCACGCUACUCAUUAGUAAUUCGAAAACACGUGUUUGACCCAUUGCCUCAUUUGCAGGUCUUCUAUGCGUUGAUUGACCAAGCACUUCACACGGCAAAGCCAUCCUCCGUAGAAGACACAAUUUCGAUAGUGGCAGAUUUGAAAAGAGAGCAUACAAGUUGGAAGUACGUGGAAGGAACACACUGGCAUUCUCGAUUCAGUCAUCUCGUUUCUUACGGUGCAGGUAUGUCUCUGAUUCGAGAGCUACUGCAACAUUCUAACACAAUUAGUCGCUUAAGAGUAAAAUUAUUUUAUCGAAUGGCGAGAUUUUAUUUUUCUUUUAUUCUCCAUUAAUCCGUCAGCACAGGUUACUACAGCUACUUGUAUGCAAAAUGCUUUGCGGCAACAAUAUGGCAAAAGAAAUGCAAGGAAGACCCGUUGUCGGUAGAAGCAGGAUCUGCUCUUAGGUCGAAAUUCUUGCAGUACGGUGGAGCCAAAGAUGCACCAGCUAUAUUGGAUGAUCUUGUUGGGAAUUCUGUGACGAAAAAUCGGAAUGGAGGAAUUGUUCCUGAUAUUACUUGCCUUGGUCAGGAGAUGAAACUAUUCAAAUAGAGCCAGUUAUCUUGAUAAAUCCAAGGAGACAAAAUGAAUCGACGACUAAGUCUCCAGCCAGGUAUGCUGAUUCUUUCGUACCCAUUAGGGUAGAGGCAAUUUCAUUGAUUCAUCGUAUGUGAGUUGUUUUGUUAUUUAAUUUUUUUUCUGAAGAAAAUCCCGAGAGAAGACGUCUAGGCAAAAGUCUGCGUGCACUAGGAGCAUGAAAUUUUCUUAGGAUACAAGUGAUAACUUGAGCCGUUCGAUAAUUAUAUAUUUAUAUUCUCUGAAACUUCCCAUGCACCAACUUACCUCCACUAGUAACGUGAAAUUCCCUUAGAACACAAGUAAUAACUAACUUGGGCCAUUUAAAGCUCAAGACCUGUAUGUAUAAAUACACAAGCUUGUCUACUACAAAUUUCAUCUCUUAUCCUCAUAUAAUAAAUAGUACACAAUGCUCUCUUCUUCCAAUCUUUCCCUCACUCUCUUCCUACUUUUUAACCUAUUCAUCCUCCACCAAUCUCUCGCCGCCACCGAAAAGCAAUGCCACGUGGACGAUGAAAGUGGGUUAUUAGCAUUCAAGUCCGGCAUAAUAUCUGACCAAUCAGGAUCGCUCAACUCAUGGAAGCCCGGUACUGAUUGCUGCAAAUGGGCCGGGAUAAAAUGCAAGCCCGAAUUCAACAACCGUGUCACUGUAAUAGAUCUCUACGGUUGGCCAUCGGACGGCACAAACAUUUUAGCGGGCCCCAUUUCGCCCGCACUCGCGAAACUCCAGUCUUUGGAGUCUCUAAAGUUCGACCAUCUCGGAAACUUAACGGGGCCUUUCCCUGAUUUCCUCCUAUCAAUGCCAAACAUCACCACUAUAAUCCUUUCAGACAACAAAUUAUCCGGUACUAUACCUAGAAACAUAGUUAACCUCCUCAAACUCGAAACUUUGGCUCUUGAUGGGAACCAAUUUUCUGGGACUAUACCGAGCCUGGGCAAAUCGACAAGUUUAUUAUAUCUCAACCUCGGCAAUAAUCGUCUCUCUGGUGGCAUUCCAAUCAGUUUUCGGCGGCUGAGGAAGCUUUCCUGGCUGGAGUUGAGUUCGAACCAGCUCACAGGUAGUAUACCAGAUAUCUUUUCUGGAUUAACCUCUAUUGUAAUUCUUUAUCUCUCGCAUAAUAAAUUCUCCGGGAAUAUUCCGAAAAGCCUAUCGUAUCUUAAACCGAUCAACGUCGACUUGAGCCACAAUGCUUUAAUAGGGCAAAUACCAGACAUCUCGUCAAACAGUUUCAAUGCAAUAAACGGACUUAACCUCUCAUGGAACCAGCUUUCUGGGGUUAUCCCUGAAAAUUUUGCGAAAUUCACCCAAAUAACCCUUCUUGAUUUUUCUCAUAAUAAGCUAAAUGGUUCUUUACCUGAAAUGAGAAUGGCGAGAAGUAUGCACGCUUUGGACUUUUCAUACAACGAUUACCGUUUUGGGAAAAUCCCAAAAUGGAUUGGUAACACAUCGACCAACAUUCUAGGGCUUGCGAAAUGUGGGAUCAAGAUGAAGUUGAAUGAUUGGAAACCGACGGUGAUUUAUGGCAAUGUGUAUCUUUCGGAGAAUGAAUUAACGGGAAACCCACUUCAAUUCUUGAUUAGCCAGAAUACGUAUCUGAUGGGGUUUUGGGCGUUGGGUAAUAAGUUGAAAUUUGAUAUGAAACACUUGAAGCUUGGGAAGAAGAUGGUCAACUUGGAUCUUUCGAACAACUUGGUGUAUGGAAAUGUGCCCAAGACUGUUUCGAGGCUUCAAGAGUUGAACGUCAGCCACAACCAUCUGUGCGGUCAGCUUCCGGCCACAAAGUUUCCGGCAACUGCUUUUCUUGGGAAUGACUGUCUGUGUGGAGCUCCACUACCACCCUGCAAAUCUUAAUCAGCAAAGUUUCUAGGAAAUAAGCUCGUUUGAUUUCCUAGGAUAUUUGUGUUAUUAAGGAUUCCCCUUUACCAUUUGAUUUUUUUCUUGUCUUUUUAUUUAAUCUAGCAAUAAAUCUGUGGAAAACCAAGAAUGUUAUGUACCAUAAUAUAUCGUAUAUGUUUAUUGUCCAUAUUUAUGCAACUGUUUUCAAGGGUCGCCACCCGUUCCUUGAUAAAGUUUAAAGAAAUAGAUUUUGAAGGAUCAGCUCUAAUCAUCUGCUCAAUUUGUUUCUGCACAAAAUAGUUUGACAUUCGUAAUAUAAUAACAAAAAGGCAGAUGAGAUUAACCCGAGUUGACGCAUCUUGACAUAAUUGAUCAUUCUUAACUGUCAAAUCAGAUAUUAAUCGUUCGCAGCAGCCGAUAAUCUUUGGAUCCGGCGCCGGUGCGUACUUCUUAUUGACUUUGACUCUGAAAACCUUCAAUUUUUUUUAUUUUCCUCCGUGUCAUGACGAUAAGGAUGUAAGCGAUGCUUAGUUAUAUCUAUAUUUUAUUAUGAAUGAAAAUAAUAGAAAAAAGGACUUGCAUAAUCUCUAUGCUUUAAACUUGACAGAUCAUGCAAUUAAUUAUUCACCAUGUAAGCAAAAGUCUGCGUGCACUAGAAACGUGCAAUUUUCUUAGAAUACAAGUGACAACUUGAGCCGUUCGAUAAUUAUAUAUUUAUACAUACUCUGCGAAACUUCCCAUGCACCAACGUACCUCCCAUAGUAACGUGAAAUUUUCUUAGGAUACAAGUAAAUAGUAAUAACUAACCUGGGCCAUUUAAAGCUCAAGAGCCUUAUAAAUACCCAAGCUUGGCUAAGGCAAUUUUCACCUCUUGUUUCCUCCUUAUACAAACACAAUGCCCUCUCCUUCCAAUUUUCCCCUCCUUCUUUUCCUACUAUUCAACCUAUUCAUCCACCACCAAUCUCUCGCCGCCACCAAGAAACGAUGCCACGUGGACGACGAAAAGGGUUUACUAGCAUUCAAGUCCGGCAUAAAAUCCGACCAAUCGGGAUUGCUCAACUCAUGGAAGCGUGGUACAGAUUGCUGUAAAUGGUAUGGGAUAACAUGCAAUCCCAAAUCCAGUAACCGUGUCACUGUAAUAGAUCUCUAUGGUUGGCCCUCCGAUGGCACAAACAUCCUAGCGGGCCCCAUUUCGCCCUCACUCUCGAAACUCCACUCCUUGGAGUCUCUCAAGUUCGCCCACCUCGGAAACUUAACAGGCCCCUUCCCUGAUUUCCUCUUAGCUAUGCCAAAUAUCACCACUAUAGUCAUUUCAGAUAGCAAAUUAUCUGGUCCUAUACCUAGAAAUAUAGUCAACCUAGUCAAACUCGAAAGGUUGGAACUUGAGGGGAACCGAUUUACCGGAACUAUACCGAGCCUGGGAAAAUCGACAAGUUUAAUCCAUCUCAACCUCGGAAAUAAUCGUCUCUCCGGUGGCAUUCCGAUCAGUUUCCGGCGGUUGAGGAAGCUUAUCUGGCUGGAGUUGAGCUGGAACCAGCUCACAGGUAGUAUACCAGAUAUCUUUUCUGGAUUAACCUCUGUUGAAAUUCUUUAUCUCCAACAUAAUAAAUUUUCUGGGAAUAUUCCGAAAAGCCUAUCGUAUCUUAAACCAAUCAACGUGGAUCUCAGCCACAAUGCCCUAACAGGGCAGAUACCAGACAUUUCGUCGAACAGGUUCAAUGCAAUAAACGACCUUAACCUUUCGUGGAACCACCUCUCUGGGGUUAUCCCUGAAAAUUUUGCGAAAUUCACUCAAAUCACUGUUCUCGAUUUUUCUCACAAUGAGCUAAACGGUUCUUUACCUGAAAUGAGAUUGGAGAGAAGUAUGUACGCUUUGGAUUUGUCGUACAACAAUUACCAUUUUGGGGAAAUCCCGGAAUGGAUUGGUAAUACAUCGGCGAUGAUUCUAGGGCUUGUGAAAUGCGGGAUCAAGAUGAGGUUGAAUGAUUGGAAACCGA